rnacentral:rRNA from 1 species
AAAUUGAAGAGUUUGAUCAUGGCUCAGAUUGAACGCUGGCGGCAGGCCUAACACAUGCAAGUCGAACGGUAACAGGAAACAGCUUGCUGUUUCGCUGACGAGUGGCGGACGGGUGAGUAAUGUCUGGGAAACUGCCUGAUGGAGGGGGAUAACUACUGGAAACGGUAGCUAAUACCGCAUAACGUCGCAAGACCAAAGAGGGGGACCUUCGGGCCUCUUGCCAUCGGAUGUGCCCAGAUGGGAUUAGCUAGUAGGUGGGGUAAUGGCUCACC